GAUGAACGCUGGCGGCGUGCCUAACACAUGCAAGUCGAGCGGAGAAUUGUUGCUUGCACCAAUUCUUAGCGGCGGACGGGUGAGUAACACGUGGGUAACCUGCCCUAAACAAAGGGAUAACAAUGAGAAAUCAUUGCUAAUACCGUAUAAGCUUACACUAUCGCAUGAUAGAGUAAGAAAAGAUUUAUCGGUUUAGGAGGGGCCCGCGUCUGAUUAGCUAGUUGGAGAGGUAACGGCUCACCAAGGCGACGAUCAGUAGCCGACCUGAGAGGGUGAUCGGCCACAUUGGGACUGAGACACGGCCCAAACUCCUACGGGAGGCAGCAGUGGGGAAUAAUGCACAAUGGAGGAAACUCUGAUGCAGCAACGCCGCGUGAAGGAAGAAGGUUUUCGGAUCGUAAACUUCUAUCCACAGGGAAGAAAAAAAUGACGGUACCUGAGGAAGAAGCCCCGGCUAACUACGUG
rnacentral:rRNA from 1 species